rnacentral:lncRNA from 1 species
UGGAUGUCGCGCACUGGUCCUCAGCAGUUGUUUAAACACUCUGCAUACGCAAGAAUUCGUCAGUUCGCAAACAUCAUGUUUGUCUCAUGCUGUUUCUGGUUCUAAUUCUGGUAAGCUCAAUGCGAACGAUGGCCCCGCUCCAAUAUCUCCCCAAAAUUCAACUCUCCACCUCCUAAACCAACAAAAUCUUUUCAACGCACCUCUCUGCGUGCAAAGAAGCGCUUCUCGAAGGUAGAAAAACGAGGCAUUAGUAACUUCUGCAACGACCUGGACUUUCCAGCCUGAUCAAAACGACCGCC